AAUAGUACUUAUUUAUAAAUAAAUAAAUAUUAUAGGGACAUUCUUACACAAAUUGACUAUGUCCCCCACGGUAAGCUCAAGAAGGGUUGUGUUGUGGGUACUCAGACAACGAUAUAUAUAAUAUACAAAUACUUAAAUACAUAGAAAACAUCCAUGACCACGAACAAUUAUCUGUGUUAAUCACCCAAAUAAAUGCCUUUACGGGAUUCGAACCCGGGACCAUUGGUUUCAUAGGCAGGGUCACUACCAACCGGUCGUGUUUGACAUACAUGUUUUAAGUAACCAAAGGCAAUUUCUCGCUAGCAGGUCGGAUCGGAUAAUAUUAAAAUAAUUGAUGUGACAGACUUACAGAUUAAGCCAAAGCGAUUGAUUCCGUAGACCAUAAGUAAUUAGUAGUAACACACUUAAUAUGUAUGACUUUAAGGAAAAUAAACACUUUCAUAGACUCAUAUUUAAUAAAGCGAAAACAAACAGGCCAAUAAACGGUCCCUUUUCGUCGAAAGCAAUGGCUAAGAAGGGUGUCCCCCAGGGAUCUAUAUUAGGACCAUUCUUAUUUCUCAUUUACACAAAAAAAAAACAUUGUCCUGCUAAUAGCGUUGACGCGUCAUUUUUGCUACGCAUUAUUGAUGAUCAAACGAACUUACCAAGUGAAUUUCGAUCACAAUUAUGAGAGCAAGUUUACAUAUUGUAGUUACGCCCCCACGCAUCAGCUUUGCACGAUUUUUAAAGGUUUUUUUUAUUUCUUGUACUGGCAACACUGAAAACUUGCUCCCAUCCCCUCUACGGCAUCAUGGUAGGUCUGUAAACUGCCAUAUUCUAAUCAUUUUGUUUAAAGCAUAAAUAUUGAGAAUUAAGUAUAUGAAUAUAAUGUCAUAUUAGCCUGGCCACACUUAACGAUUACACCCUGUAUAUCACCAUUACUUAAGUCGGGUAGGGUGCCGUCAGCCAACAAUAUUUUUAAAUAUUGAGAGUGAUGGGUUGUGAUCAUGUGAUAAAUCGCGUCGAAUGAAGUUGCUCACAUAAUUGUGAUCGAACUUAACAAGUGAAGUUCGAUCACAAUUAUAUUUCGCAACUUCAUUCUUUGCGAUUUAUUGUUUACAUAUUAUAGGAUGUUCAGAGCACAAAAUGUGAAAUAAUUCUCAAACUCACAGAGCAGAUAAAAUAAAUCAAAUUAGAGAUAAAAAAAUACCUCUUUUAAGGUUCUUUGUUGAUGAGAGAAUUGCCUGAGCAAACUGAUUGCAAUCAACUACAAUUUCUUUAUUGUAAAAUUUGGCAAAAACGCAAGAGGAAUCACUCCAACCUGAAGUCUUGCGUAUAACGUCUUGGCUAACACCCAAUCUGUUGGCUGUAGAAGUGGCCGAAUGCCUAGUACUAUGGGCAGUAAAUAUUUUUGUGUCUAUACCGCUAUUGUGAAGUGUCUUUAAUCCAGUGACUCAAUGUUUGUGAUGGUACUUUUGAGUGUGGUUUUUUAUAGCUGAUAAAUAAAGUGUUGUUUUCUAAACUGCGAA